rnacentral:rRNA from 1 species
ACGCUGGCGGCAUGCUUUACACAUGCAAGUCGGACGGCAGCACAGAGAAGCUUACUUCUUGGGUGGCGAGUGGCGAACGGGUGAGUAAUAUAUCGGAACGUACCGAGUAAUGGGGGAUAACUAAUCGAAAGAUUAGCUAAUACCGCAUAUUCUCUGAGGAGGAAAGCAGGGGACCUUCGGGCCUUGCGUUAUUCGAGCGGCCGAUAUCUGAUUAGCUAGUUGGUGGGGUAAAGGCCUACCAAGGCGACGAUCAGUAGCGGGUCUGAGAGGAUGAUCCGCCACACUGGGACUGAGACACGGCCCAGACUCCUACGGGAGGCAGCAGUGGGGAAUUUUGGACAAUGGGCGCAAGCCUGAUCCAGCCAUGCCGCGUGUCUGAAGAAGGCCUUCGGGUUGUAAAGGACUUUUGUCAGGGAAGAAAAGGCUGUUGCUAAUACCGACAGCUGAUGACGGUACCUGAAGAAUAAGCACCGGCUAACUACGUGCCAGCAGCCGCGGUAAUACGUAGGGUGCGAGCGUUAAUCGGAAUUACUGGGCGUAAAGCGAGCGCAGACGGUUACUUAAGCAGGAUGCGAAAUCCCCGGGUUCAACCUGGGAACUGCGUUCUGAACUGGGUGACUAGAGUGUGUCAGAGGGAGGUAGAAUUCCACGUGUAGCAGUGAAAUGCGUAGAGAUGUGGAGGAAUACCGAUGGCGAAGGCAGCCUCCUGGGAUAACACUGACGUUCAUGCUCGAAAGCGUGGGUAGCAAACAGGAUUAGAUACCCUGGUAGUCCACGCCCUAAACGAUGUCAAUUAGCUGUUGGGCAACUUGAUUGCUUAGUAGCGUAGCUAACGCGUGAAAUUGACCGCCUGGGGAGUACGGUCGCAAGAUUAAAACUCAAAGGAAUUGACGGGGACCCGCACAAGCGG